rnacentral:lncRNA from 1 species
UGCAGAUUAUGAAUAAAUAAAAUGGAAGGAACUGAACCUUUUUUAAAAAAAAGUUCUCUUAGAACAAAAGGUCUUAGAGGACGAUUCAGAAAGAAACUAUUAAACUGCCUUCAAGUUAAAUUUAAAUAGGCAGUAUCAAAGGCACAAGGGGAAGGUGGUAAGGACUGGUUCAAGGAAAAUGGGAGUCAUUUCUGCAACUGAAGGCAUGUCUCAUGGAGGUUGAUGGUCCACCAUGGUCUGGAAGAGGGAAUACACUUUGGAUAGUGUUCCAGCAUGGGAUAGAUUGGUUUCCUGAAGCACAUCCUUUCUCCCAGCAUUUCCACGCAAAUCCAUAA